rnacentral:rRNA from 1 species
GAGUUUGAUCCUGGCUCAGAACGAACGUUGGCGGCGUGCUUAACACAUGCAAGUCGAACGAGAACGGUUCCUUCGGGAGCUUAGUAAAGUGGCGCACGGGUGAGUAACACGUAGAUAACCUGUCCAGGUGUUCGGGAUAGCCCUUCGAAAGGGGGGAUUAAUACCGGAUACGUUAGUCUGUUAUAAGGCAGAUUAAGAAAGGUGGCCUCUAUUUAUAAGCUAUCGCAUUUGGAGGGGUCUGCGUACCAUUAGUUUGUUGGUGGGGUAAAGGCCUACCAAGACUUCGAUGGUUAGCGGGUCUGAGAGGAUGAUCCGUCACACUGGCACUGAAACACGGGCCAGACUCCUACGGGAGGCAGCAGUGAGGAAUAUUGCGCAAUGGGGGAAACCCUGACGCAGCGACGCCGCGUGGGUGAGGAAGGCUUUCGGGUCGUAAGACCCUGUCAGAAGGAAGAAAUGUGUAUAGGUUAAUAUC